GCAGCUCAAUCAGUAGAGUAUCAAGCUCUUAAUCUCAGGAUUGUGGGUUCAAGCCCCACUUUCAGCA